GAUGAACGCUGGCGGCGUGCCUAAUACAUGCAAGUCGAGCGAACGGACGAGAAGCUUGCUUUUCUGAUGUUAGCGGCGGACGGGUGAGUAACACGUGGAUAACCUACCUAUAAGACUGGGAUAACUUCGGGAAACCGGAGCUAAUACCGGAUAAUAUUUUGAACCGCAUGGUUCAAAAGUGAAAGACGGUCUUGCUGUCACUUAUAGAUGGAUCCGCGCUGCAUUAGCUAGUUGGUAAGGUAACGGCUUACCAAGGCAACGAUGCAUAGCCGACCUGAGAGGGUGAUCGGCCACACUGGAACUGAGACACGGUCCAGACUCCUGCGGGAGGCAGCAGUAGGGAAUCUUACGCAGUGGGCGAAAGCCUGACAGAGCAACGCCGCGUGAGUGAUGAAGGUCUUCGGAUCGUAAAACUCUGUUAUUAGGGAAGAACAUAUGUGUAAGUAACUGUGCACAUCUUGACGGUACCUAAUCAGAAAGCCACGGCUAACUACGUG
rnacentral:rRNA from 1 species